rnacentral:rRNA from 1 species
GAUGAACGCUGGCGGCGUGCUUAACACAUGCAAGUCGAACGAUUAAAGCCCCUUCGGGGGUGUAUAGAGUGGCGAACGGGUGAGUAACACGUGGGGAACCUGCCCUUCUCUCUGGGAUAACCCUCGGAAACGAGAGCUAAUACCGGAUACUCCUUGCGGACCGCAUGGUCUGCUCGGGAAAGCUCCGGCGGAGAUGGAUGGCCCCGCGGCCCAUUAGCUUGUUGGUAGGGUAAUGGCCUACCAAGGCGACGAUGGGUAGCCGAGCUGAGAGGCUGAUCGGCCACACUGGGACUGAGACACGGCCCAGACUCCUACGGGAGGCAGCAGUGGGGAAUUUUGCGCAAUGGGCGAAAGCCUGACGCAGCAACGCCGCGUGCGGGAUGAAGGCCCUCGGGUUGUAAACCGCUUUCAGCAGGGACGAACGUGACGGUACCUGCAGAAGAAGCCCCGGCUAACUACGUGCCAGCAGCCGCGGUAAUACGUAGGGGGCAAGCGUUAUCCGGAUUCAUUGGGCGUAAAGAGCGCGUAGGCGGACUGUUAAGUCAGAUGUGAAAACCGGGGGCUCAACCCGCGGCCUGCAUCUGAAACUGGCAGUCUUGAGUCUGGUAGAGGAAAGUGGAAUUCCUGGUGUAGCGGUGAAAUGCGCAGAUAUCAGGAGGAACACCAGUGGCGAAGGCGGCUUUCUGGGCCACGACUGACGCUGAGGCGCGAAAGCUAGGGGAGCGAACAGGAUUAGAUACCCUGGUAGUCCUAGCCGUAAACGAUGGGCACUAGGUGUGGGAGGUCAUCGACUCCUUCCGUGCCGAAGCUAACGCAUUAAGUGCCCCGCCUGGGGAGUACGGCCGCAAGGCUAA